rnacentral:rRNA from 1 species
UGGGGAAUUUUGCGCAAUGGGCGAAAGCCUGACGCAGCAACGCCGCGUGUGUGAUGAAGGUCUUCGGAUUGUAAAGCACUUUCGACCGGGAAGAAAACCCGCUGGAGUAAUACCCAGCGGCUUGACGGUACCGGGAGAAGAAGCACCGGCUAACUCUGUGCCAGCAGCCGCGGUAAUACAGAGGGUGCAAGCGUUGUUCGGAAUUAUUGGGCGUAAAGCGCGUGUAGGCGGCUUUGCAAGUCGGGUGUGAAAGCCCUCAGCUCAACUGAGGAAGUGCGCCCGAAACUGCAGAGCUUGAGUGUCGGAGAGGGUGGCGGAAUUCCCCAAGUAGAGGUGAAAUUCGUAGAUAUGGGGAGGAACACCGGUGGCGAAGGCGGCCACCUGGACGACAACUGACGCUGAGACGCGAAAGCGUGGGGAGCAAACAGG